GUGGGGAAUAUUGCGCAAUGGCCGCAAGGCUGACGCAGCGACGCCGCGUGUGGGAUGACGGUCUUCGGAUUGUAAACCACUGUCAGGGGGAACGAAUACAGGGCGUCGAAUAGGCGACCCUGGGUGACGGUACCUCCAAAGGAAGCACCGGCUAACUCCGUGCCAGCAGCCGCGGUAAUACGGAGGGUGCGAGCGUUGUCCGGAAUCACUGGGCGUAAAGGGUGCGUAGGCGGUUCAGUAAGUUGCUGGUGAAAUCCCGGGGCUCAACUCCGGGGCUGCCGGCACGACUGCUGGACUUGAGCACGGUAGGGGCAGAUGGAAUUCCCGGUGUAGCGGUGGAAUGCGUAGAUAUCGGGAAGAAUACCAGUGGCGAAGGCGUUCUGCUGGGCCGUUGCUGACGCUGAGGCACGACAGCGUGGGGAGCAAACAGGAUUAGAUACCCGGGUAGUCC
rnacentral:rRNA from 1 species